rnacentral:misc_RNA from 1 species
GAUGAAGAACGCAGCGAAAUGCGAUAAGUAAUGUGAAUUGCAGAAUUCAGUGAAUCAUCGAAUCUUUGAACGCACCUUGCACCCUUUGGCAUUCCGAAGGGCAUGCCUGUUUGAGUAUCGUGAACACCUCAACUCUCAUGGUCUGCCAUGAUGAGCUUGGACUUUGGGGGUCUUGCUGGCCUACUGUCAGCUCCUCUCAAAUGAAUCAGCUUACCAGUGUUUGGUGGCACCACAGGUGUGAUAACUAUCUACGCUUGUGGUUUUCUGCCAGGUAACCUCCAGUGAUGGAGGUUCGCUGGAGCUCACAAAUGUCUCUCCUCAGCGAGGACAGCUUUUUGAACGUUUGAUCUCAAAUCAGGUAGGACUACCCGCUGAACUUAAGCAUAUCAAUAAGCGGAGGA